rnacentral:rRNA from 1 species
GAUGAACGCUGGCGGCGUGCUUAACACAUGCAAGUCGAACGGGAAACCUUUUAUUGAAGCUUCGGCAGAUUUAGCUGGUUUCUAGUGGCGGACGGGUGAGUAACGCGUGGGUAACCUGCCUUAUACAGGGGGAUAACAGUCAGAAAUGGCUGCUAAUACCGCAUAAGCGCACAGAGCUGCAUGGCUCAGUGUGAAAAACUCCGGUGGUAUAAGAUGGACCCGCGUUGGAUUAGCUGGUUGGUGGGGUAACGGCCCACCAAGGCGACGAUCCAUAGCCGGCCUGAGAGGGUGAACGGCCACAUUGGGACUGAGACACGGCCCAGACUCCUACGGGAGGCAGCAGUGGGGAAUAUUGCACAAUGGGGGAAACCCUGAUGCAGCGACGCCGCGUGAAGGAAGAAGUAUCUCGGUAUGUAAACUUCUAUCAGCAGGGAAGAUAAUGACGGUACCUGACUAAGAAGCCCCGGCUAACCACGUG